rnacentral:rRNA from 1 species
AUUGAACGCUGGCGGCAUGCCUAACACAUGCAAGUCGAACGAAGCCUUCGGGCUUAGUGGCGCACGGGUGCGUAACGCGUGGGAAUCUGCCUUGGGGUUCGGAAUAACUCCCCGAAAGGGGUGCUAAUACCGGAUGAUGUCGAAAGACCAAAGAUUUAUCGCCCUGAGAUGAGCCCGCGUAAGAUUAGCUAGUUGGUGGG